rnacentral:rRNA from 1 species
AUUGAACGCUGGCGGCAGGCCUAACACAUGCAAGUCGAGCGGAGCGGCGGCCGGGUGAGUAAUGCCUAGGAAUCUGCCUGGUAGUGGGGGAUAACGUCCGGAAACGGGCGCUAAUACCGCAUACUAUCAGAUGAGCCUGGGUCGGAUUAGCUAGUUGGUGGGGUAACGGCCUACCACUGCGAUGAUCCUGAACUGGUCUGAGAGGAUGAUCAGUCACAAUGGAAAGGAGACACGUGCCAGACUCCGACGGGAGGCAGCAGUGGGGAAUAUUGGACAAUGGGCGAAAGCCUGAUCCAGCCAUGCCGGGUGUGUGAAGAAGGUCUUCGGAUUGUAAAGCACUUUAAGUUGGGAGGCGUUACCAACAGAAUAAGCACCGGCUAACUUCGUGCCAGCAGCCGCGGUAAUUC